UUAAAAAGCACGUGAAAUUGUUGAAAGGGAAGGGAUUGCAACCAGACUUGCUCGCGGUGUUCCGCCGGUCUUCUGACCGGUCUACUCGCCGCGUUGCAGGCCAGCAUCGUCUGGUGCCGCUGGAUAAGACUUGAGGAAUGUAGCUCCCUCGGGAGUGUUAUAGCCUCUUGUGAUGCAGCGAGCGCCGGGCGAGGUCCGCGCUUCGGCUAGGAUGCUGGCGUAAUGGUUGUAAUCCGCCCGUCUUGAAACACGGAACCAAGACGCGG
rnacentral:rRNA from 1 species